UAGUCCACGCCGUAAACGAUGGUUACUAGCUGUUCGGUACUUGUACUGAGUGGCUAAGCGAAAGUGAUAAGUAACCCACCUGGGGAGUACGUUCGCAAGAAUGAAACUCAAAGGAAUUGACGGGGGCCCGCACAAGCGGUGGAGCAUGUGGUUUAAUUCGAUGAUACGCGAGGAACCUUACCAGGGCUUAAAUGUAGUGGGACAGGUGUGGAAACACGCCCUUCUUCGGACUCAUUACAAGGUGCUGCAUGGUUGUCGUCAGCUCGUGCCGUGAGGUGUCAGGUUAAGUCCUAUAACGAGCGCAACCCCUGUUGUUAGUUGCCAGCACAUUAUGGUGGGAACUCUAACAAGACUGCCGGUGCAAACCGUGAGGAAGGUGGGGAUGACGUCAAAUCAUCACGGCCCUUACGUCCUGGGCUACACACGUGCUACAAUGGCCGGUACAGAGGGCAGCCACUACGCGAGUAGGAGCGAAUCCUUAAAACCGGUCUCAGUUCGGAUCGGAGUCUGCAACUCGACUCCGU
rnacentral:rRNA from 1 species